AUACAUAAGUUACUAAGGGCUUAUGGUGGAUGCCUUGGCACUAGAAGGCGAUGAAGGACGUGCAAACCUGCGAAAUGCUACGGGGAGCUGGUUGGAAGCGAUAAUCCGUAGAUGUCCGAAUGGGGGAACCUGAUUAAUAGUGAUAUUAAUUAUUUAGAUCUGAAUACAUAGGGUCUAAAAGCAAUACGUUGUGAAGUGAAACAUCUCAGUAGCAACAGGAAAAGAAAUCGAAAGAGAUUCCGUGUGUAGUGGCGAGCGAAAGCGGAACAGGCCAAACCAAGAUUUAUCUUGGGGUUAUAGGACUGCAAUGUGGACUUUGAACUGAUAGGAGAAGUAGUUGAAAAGCUACGCGAUAAAGGGUUAUAGCCCCGUAUCUUAAAUUGGUUUAAUACCUAGCAGGAUCCUGAGUACAUCGAGAAACGUUAUCUUGAUGGAAGUCGCCCAGACCAUUGGGCAAGCCUAAAUACUAACUAGUGACCGAUAGCGUAUAGUACCGUGAGGGAAAGGUGAAAAGAACCCAGGGAUGGGAGUGAAAUAGAUUCUGAAACCAUAUGCCUACAACGUGUCAGAGCACAUUAAUGUGUGAUGGCGUGCGUUUUGAAGUAUGAGCCGGCGAGUUAUGAUAGCAAGCAGGUUAACCUUUAGAAGGGAAGCCGAAGCGAAAGCGAGUUUGAAUAGAGCGAAUUAAAGUGUUUGUUAUUAUAGACCCGAAACGGGUUGAGCUAGUCAUGGGCAGGUUGAAGUUAGAGUAACAUCUAAUGGAGGACCGAACCGACUUUCGUUGAAACGACAGCGGAUGACCUGUGACUAGGGGUGAAAUUCCAAUCGAAAUCCGUGAUAGCUGGUUCUCGUCGAAAUAGUUUUAAGACUAGCGUAAGAUCAUGAUCAACUGGAGGUAGAGCUACUGAAUGUAUGAUGGCGCCGCCUUGGUGUACUGAAUACAAUUAAACUCCGAAUGCUAAUUGAUUUAUUCUUGCAGUCAGACAGUGGGGGAUAAGCUUCAUUGUCACAAGGGGAAGAGCCCAGAUCAUUAAAUAAGGUCCCUAAAAUAUGCUAAGUGGAAAAGGUUGUUAAAAUACUUAAACAGCAAGGAUGUUGGCUUAGAAGCAGCCAUCGUUUAAAGAGUGCGUAACAGCUCACUUGUCGAGUGUUUUUGCGCCGAAGAUGUAACGGGGCUAAGCAUAUUACCGAAUUUAUGGAUUAUUAUUCGUAAGAAUGAUAGUGGUAGACGAGCGUUGUAUAUGGGAUGAAGUCAAACCGUGAGGAUUGGUGGACUGUAUACAAGUGAGAAUGCCGGUGUAAGUAACGCUUGAGAGUGAGAAUCUCUCAAACCGAUUGACUAAGGUUUCCUGGACGAGGGUCGUCCUUCCAGGGUUAGUCUGGACCUAAGGCGAGGCAGAAAUGCGUAGUCGAUGGAAGAACAGGUUAAUAUUCCUGUACAAACAAAUAGCUGAUGGAGUGACGGAGAAGGUUAAUGCAUCCCCAUUAUCGGAUUUGGGGUUAAAUAAGAAGUCUUAAGGGUUGGCAAAUCCGCCCUUUUUAAGGACAACUUAUGAAUACGAGUGAACGCUUUGCAAGUAGCGAAGAUGCAUACAUCACGCUUCCAAGAAAAGCUUCUAGGGUUAACUAUUUGUUUCCAGUACCGAGAACGAACACACGUGGUCAAGGAGAAGAUCCUAAGGUUAGCGAGUGAACUAUAGCUAAGGAACUCUGCAAAUUCAUCCCGUAAGUUCGCAAGAAGGGAUGCUCAAUGUAACAGUUGAGCCGCAGUGAAGAACGAGGGGGGACUGUUUAACUAAAACACAGCUCUAUGCUAAAUCGCAAGAUGAUGUAUAUGGGGUGACACCUGCCCAGUGCUGGAAGGUUAAAGAAGGGUGUUAGAGCAAUCAAAGCUCCCGACUGAAGCCCCAGUGAACGGCGGCCGUAACUAUAACGGUCCUAAGGUAGCGAAAUUCCUUGUCGGGUAAAUUCCGUCCCGCUUGAAUGGUGUAACCAUCUCUUGACUGUCUCGGCUAUAGACUCGGUGAAAUCCAGGUACGGGUGAAGACACCCGUUAGGCGCAACGGGACGGAAAGACCCCAUGAAGCUUUACUGUAACUUAAUAUUGGGCAGAGUUUAGACAUAUAGAGAAUAGGUGGGAGACUUUGAAGCAACUUCGCUAGGAGUUGUGGAGUCACCAGUGGAAUACCACCUUUGUUUAAAUUCUUCUCUAACUAGUUGCUGUUAUCCAGCAAUAGGACAGUGUUAGGCGGGCAGUUUGACUGGGGCGGUCGCCUCCCAAAAGGUAACGGAGGCGUGCAAAGGUACCCUCAGCACGGUUGGAAAUCGUGUUAAGAGUGUAAUGGUAUAAGGGUGCUUGACUGUGAGACUAACAGGUCGAACAGGUAAGAAAUUAGGUCAUAGUGAUCCGGUGGUUCAGUAUGGAAUGGCCAUCGCUCAACGGAUAAAAGCUACUCUGGGGAUAACAGGCUGAUACUGCCCAAGAGUUCACAUCGACGGCAGUGUUUGGCACCUCGAUGUCGACUCAUCUCAUCCUCGAGCUGAAGCAGGUUCGAAGGGUUCGGCUGUUCGCCGAUUAAAGAGAUACGUGAGUUGGGUUCAAACCGUCGCGAGACAGGUUGGUCCCUAUCUAUUGUGCCCGCAGGAAGAUUGAAAAGAUUUACUCUUAGUACGAGAGGACCGGAGUGAAGACACCUCUUGUGCUCCAGUUGUAGUGCCAACUGCACCGCUGGGUAGCAACGUGUCGAACGGAUAAACGCUGAAAGCAUCUAAGUGUGAAACCGACUUUAAGAAUAAUCUUCCCUUCCAGCAAUGGAGUAAGAAUCGUUGUAGACUACGACGUUGAUAGGCUAAAGGUGUAAGUGCCGCGAGGUAUUUAGCUGAUUAGUACUAAUAAUUCGAGGACUUAGAUUU
rnacentral:rRNA from 1 species